GCAGUGGGGAAUAUUGGACAAUGGGCGCAAGCCUGAUCCAGCAAUGCCGCGUGUGUGAAGAAGGCCCUCGGGUUGUAAAGCACUUUUAUCAGGAGCGAAAUCUGCAAGGUUAAUACCUUUGCAGUCUGACGGUACCUGAGGAAUAAGCACCGGCUAACUCCGUGCCAGCAGCCGCGGUAAUACGGAGGGUGCAAGCGUUAAUCGGAAUUACUGGGCGUAAAGCGUGCGUAGGCGGUUCGUUAAGUCUGUUGUGAAAGCCCCGGGCUCAACCUGGGAAUGGCAAUGGAUACUGGCGAGCUAGAGUGUGUCAGAGGAUGGUGGAAUUCCCGGUGUAGCGGUGAAAUGCGUAGAGAUCGGGAGGAACAUCAGUGGCGAAGGCGGCCAUCUGGGACAACACUGACGCUGAGGCACGAAAGCGUGGGGAGCAAACAGGAUUAGA
rnacentral:rRNA from 1 species